CCAGGCGCGCCGCGGUCAAAAAUGGCGGCGGCCGUUAGCUCCCGGAGGCCUUUCUGAUUCCACGGCUCUACGCUUCCCGUGCAAAAUGUGAAAGGAGGGGGGGGUCCUAGGCAAUGAGUCGGCGAAGAAAACUUGGGGACAGCCCUGGCCCGAAGAGGACGCCGCGCCAAGCGGCGGCGACGGCGGCGGCUGAGGAAUGCAGCUCGGUGGCCGAGUCAGGGAAGAGGCGGCUGCGGUCGGCCCGUGGGUCGGGGCUCCGCGGGGCUGGAGAGGGGUCUCAACAGCCCGUGCCGCAGCCAGAGCAGCCGUCGGUAGCCGCUUCCUGCGGUAAAAAAAAGUAUGAAACACCAAAGAGAGUGCUGAAAAUGGAUUUGUUGUCAUCUUCCUUCAAUUCUCCUAAUGAUCCAGAUGGACUGAAUGAUAUCUUUUGGGAUCAAAAUUCUCCAAUGACCAAACAGUUAGGUAAAGGAAGAAGAAAAAAGAUUUACAGCACAGAUAGUGAUGAGAUCUCACAUAUUGUUAAUUGUAUUGCUCCUCAGGAUGAAAAACCAACAACGGAUUCCAUGCUGGGCGUGUGGAUUGGUGAAACUGCUAUUCCUUGUACUCCUCAUGUAGCGAAAGGAAAAUCAAGAGCAAAAUUCAGCUGCACAAAGUUAAAAACACAAAAUCAAGAGGAAGAACUUAUGAAAUUGGCUAAGCAAUUUGAUAAAAAUAUGGAAGAGCUAGAUGUGAUUCAAGAGCAAAACCAGAGAAAUCAUGAUUUUAUCCAGGUGAUUUCAGAAGCAGAGACUUUAAAUAAUUAUAAUAUACAGAUGCAGUUAUUACAUGAUAUUGUUCCUGAAAUAGAUAAUGCUAAAAUAAAGAAGCCAGUGAAAGAGAACACCAAGGUAUCUGUGGUAAAUGAUCAAUAUAACAGUCAGAAGCCAUUUGACCAAAAUGCUGAAGCAGCCUUUAAUGCCAUUUUUGAUGGUUCUACUCAGAAGUGUAGUGGACAGUUAAGCCAAGAUCUGUCAGAUGCUUUGUGGAGCAGUGUUCAUACUGCCUCUGGAAAGAAAAGUGCUUUGAAAGAGGAGAAAAUCAUUAGUAAUGAAACUCAAGUUACUGAAAAACUACGAAACAAACCCCCAACGUCACUUUCUCAUCAAAUAAAUACUCCUGGGAUGACAAAAUCAUAUGUGACAUCUAGUACUAAGGAGCCAGAAGCUUUUAAUAAGCACAUGGAUAUAUUUGAGGACGAAUGGGAAAACUUACUGAAUAAUGAACCUUUUGUUAUGCAAAAUGUAGGAAUAUCUGAACUUUUUUCUGCUCCUGAAACAGUCCAGAUGGUUGAUCAAAAAGAAAUUUGUAUUUUUAACAGUAAAAAUGGUAAAAGUAACUCAAGAAUGAAUAUAAGUCUAGAUGCUGAGUUUAGAGAUUCAGAAGUUUUAGAUGUUUCUUCAAACACACAUACCAAUAAAUUAAUAGAUGCUAGACAAUACAGAUUUUCACCAAAUUCAAAUGAUAAACCAAACCAAUUACUAUCCAUUGGAAAUAAAAUGAAAUUUGAGAAAUCUUUUAAUAAAACCAUUCAAGACAAAACUCAAGAUGGUUCAGUUGCAUCCGAUCCAACAAAAGUAAAAGAAGAUAUUCAUACUGAAUUUAUUUCUAAUGUAAAUACUUCUCGAAAAAAGUCUACUUUGAACACAGGAUAUUCUAAUGAACAGAAAAAUAAGUCAGUUUUUAAUCCAUCAUUUAAGAUGUCUGCUAAUAUAGAUACUUUUGACUUUGCUGCUUUGGACAGUGCAAAUCAGACUGAUGCAUCAAAUAUGGAUUAUUUCUCUGAUGAUUGGAAUGACCCAUCAUUUGCCAAUGAAAUUGUUAAAACAUGUCAUCAAUUAGAGAAUACCUGGGAAGCUGAUGAUGUAGAGGAUGACCUAUUAUACCAAGCAUGUGAUGAUAUUGAAAAACUAACUCAGCAGCAAGACAUGAGAAAGGACAACAAGACAUCAAAAAGUAUAUUUGACAUUAAUAAUAGCUCCAAACAUGGAGCCAAAAACAGGUUUACUACAUCUAAACAAGGAAGUCAGUUGGUGCAAUCAACGUAUUUGAAUCUGAGUAAUGAUAUUUCAGCACAAUCGUCUUCAUUGACUGAUACCUCACAAAUAAAUAAAUCAGUAAAGAUGCUAAAAGGGGAAAUUUGUGGAAAUUCUCCAAGUUUUAUAGGUGCGACAACAAAUUUGACUAUAUACUCUAAGAACUCAAAUUGUCAGAUCAAUAAUUUGCCUGUCUCUUGGAGUAAUACUGAUAUUCCAAUAGAACUGAAUAGUUCCAAAUCGGUUCUUAUAAGAAGUUCAAGUUUGAAUGUGAAUUCCGAUCAUGUGAGUACAGAAGUAGCUACUUAUGAGAAGAAAUUGAAUACACAGCAUCUGUUCCAUGGGACCAUAACCAAUGAAGCUCAGAAUGAUCUUAACAGAACAGUUACAUUUUCUAAGUACAGGUUUACAAAGAUAAAAAAUUCCCAUGUUCUUUCCCAAAUUAAUCAAAAUUGUAUAACAGAAAGUAUCUCUGAAACCAGAAUUACACAGAAUUUGGAGAAAAACAAAAUUCCUGUCAACUCAUUAUGUGGGAAGACUGUUCAACAGCAAUCUUUGAUGAAACCUGAAUCUUUGAAACAACCUUCAAAAGAUUGAGUUAAAGGAAGGGCUGAUGGGAGAAAUGGAUGACUCUCUCUAAAUCAAAUUUUCAUGGUGUGACUUUAUUAUAUCCUUUGAAAUUAUUUUCCAGAAUAUCACCAAGCCAACUGUAAGGCCAAUUUUAGGGAGCUAUGUUCUUUUCUGUCGUCAUGGAUUAUUAACCUGUAUUCCUUCCAAAUUUAUGGUCAAUUGCAUGUAAACUGUGUGUGCAUGUAUUCUGAGUUUCUUGUGUUUCUCAGGCUUGAGGCUAAAAUAUUAGAUAAUUAGUCUAGCUGAUUUUAAGUAUCUUGUAUCUUUCUGUAAGGAAAAAAAAAAAGCUACACUCUGAGAUAAAUAGUUUAGGAAAUAAAAGACAUCAGAAUCAUUAGGGAGUUUAUUCAAAAUACACAUCUCUUACCCUGAACACGGGCUCCCAUUCAGAUUAUACCAAGAAAGAAAAGGAAACAGAUGAUAUAUUUUAGACAUAUCUCCCUUAGUUAACAAGAGAAAUGUAACAAAUUCUGAACCUUUGUUUAGAUGUCAGUAUAAAUAAUAUUUUUCUGCUGAUAAUAUAGAUUCUUAUUUAAUUAUCUGAAAGGCAGAUUUUACAACAUAAACAGUUUUACGAAUACAAUACAAGGUCAUUUAAAGAUGUAUUAUGGUGAUGGUCUUAAUUUUAAAGCAUUUAAAUGAGGAAAUAAAUUUGCUAUUUAAAGCUUUAUUUUUAUUAAUAUAAUCUAUUAUAUUAACUCAAAGUGACCUAACUAUUGAAUUAAAUUCAUUAUAUUAGAACUCAGUAUUUUGGCAAAGAUAAAAUUGGAUGUUUUGUUAAAAUAGAACUUUCCUAUUUUCAUUUGUUUACUUUGAAAUAUUAUUUUAUAGUGUGUUUAAAGAAUACAUAAGAAUAUACAUAUAUCAGAAUGCUUUAUAUUUUUAUAUAUUAAAAAGACAUUCAGAUUGGAUAAUUUAUUCAUAUAUUUUGCUUUUUAAAAUAAUUUUCUGUUUAUAUAAACUGUGUCCUCCAAAUAAAAAGAUAAUACCUGACAAUGAGUUACAUGUUUAUUGACAUGCUGAAUUUCAUUCUAUCAUGAUAAAAUAUUUCUCCUGAAUGGCUGAAAUGAAAUCAUGGAUUUCUAUAGAGAGGAAGAAGAGAAAAAUAGGAAGUAUUCUCCUGAAGAAAUUCAGAGAAAAAGACAAGAAGCAUUGGUUCGAAGAAUGGCCAAGGCCCAGGCAUCAUCUGCAAAGGCAGCUCCCACUUAAUGUGGCUUUUU